rnacentral:rRNA from 1 species
GCCUGACGGAGCAACGCCGCGUGAGGGAGGAAGGCCUGUGGGUUGUAAACCUCUUUUCUCAAGGAAGAAGUUCUGACGGUACUUGAGGAAUCAGCAUCGGCUAACUCCGUGCCAGCAGCCGCGGUAAGACGGAGGAUGCAAGCGUUAUCCGGAAUUAUUGGGCGUAAAGCGUCCGUAGGCGGUUUCAAAAGUCUGUUGUUAAAUCCCACAGCUCAACUGUGGAUCGGCGAUGGAAACUGUGAGACUAGAGAGUGGUAGGGGUAGAGGGAAUUCCUAGUGUAGCGGUGAAAUGCGUAGAUAUUAGGAAGAACACCAGUGGCGAAGGCGCUCUACUGGGCCAUUACUGACGCUGAUGGACGAAAGCUAGGGGAGCGAAAGGGAUUAGAUACCC